rnacentral:rRNA from 1 species
AUACGGAGGGUGCAAGCGUUAUCCGGAUUCAUAGGGUUUAAAGGGUGCGCAGGCGGAUAUUUAAGUCAGUGGUGAAAUCCCGGGGCUCAACCUCGGAACUGCCAUUGAUACUGAAUAUCUGGAAUACGGUUGAAGUGGGCGGAAUGUAGCAUGUAGCGGUGAAAUGCAUAGAGAUGCAACAGAACACCGAUCGCGAAGGCAGCUCACUAAGCCGAUAUUGACGCUCAGGCACGAAAGCGUGGGGAGCGAACAGGAUUAGAAACCCCAGUAGUCC